UACGAAGGGGGCUAGCGUUGUUCGGAAUUACUGGGCGUAAAGCGUAUGUAGGCGGAUCGUUAAGUCGGGGGUGAAAUCCCGAGGCUCAACCUCGGAACUGCCUUCGAUACUGGCGAUCUUCGAGUCCGGGAGAGGUGAGUGGAACUCCGAGUGUAGAGGUGAAAUUCGUAGAUAUUCGGAAGAAACACCAGUGGCGAAGGCGGCUCACUGGCCC
rnacentral:rRNA from 1 species